ensembl:lncRNA LOC108352885 uncharacterized LOC108352885
GUAUAGAGAUAUGGACUGUUGCUGGGCAAGAACCGAAGAGAUUGCUUUAAGGCACAAUGAGUUUGAAGCCGUACCAGGACAUCUAAAUGCCAAGCCCCAGCUGGCAGCUGGAGAUAAGGGGCUGGCUCCCAAAUAAAAGAAGCAAGCUUCAGUUUGGGAGUAAGGAAGAAACGCCAGGGCCAUGGUGAGAAGUGAGGGGAAUACGGAAUCCUCGGGCAUUCUCUGAAGGUUCUGGAACUUGAACAUAGAGCAGAGAUCUGCUUCUUCUGAGUCUUCAGGAUCAACCUACUUAUUCCUCAACACCCUGAUGAAGGCACUCCCGAGAGACCACAAGUGAGUCCCAGUUGCCUGGCAGAGCAAACUCAUGAAGUGGGAAAUGGCAUCUCACACCCAGCUCACAGUCUCCAAAUCGGACCCUUGUUUCCUCGAUGUGUCAUUGGUUUGGCUAUCUCAGCCCUGGACUUUGGAAAUGGUUAAGGAAGCAAGAAGGAGCACCGAGGUAUUGAUGAAAGGCUAUGGAGAGGCACCCAGCACACUCAUAUCAAUGAAAUCUGCAAUGUCAAAAUGGAAAGAAAAGCUUACAAACUACCCAAAGGAGCAAGCAAGGUCUCAGGCCCAAAAAAGGCCAGCAGAAGCUGUAACGUCUUGCAGGCAUAGUUGUCACAUAUGCCAUCUGGCUCCCUAGCCCAUCAGUAGUGCCAUCAAUAUCCUCUGCAAACAGGAAGGACGCUGCCUGUUGACAAUGUACGUGGGUAAAGAUUUGCUCUAGACAAUGAUAAUGUUCUCCUGGCCUUAUGGAUUAUUAGCGAUAAAAACUUGCUCUGGAACCAGGAAGAAUGAGGCAAGGUUUUUGUUUGUUUGUUUUUGUUUUGUUUCCUUUUGUAAGAAAAAUUUAUUUUUAUUCUUUUUUAUUCUACUUAUUCACUUUACAUCCCACUCACUGCCCCCUGUCAGUCACCCCCCUCUCACCAUCCUUUCCCCCAUCCCCCAAACCUUCCCCUUCUCUGAGUGAGUGAGGCCUCCCUUGGUUAUCACCCUCCCUAGCACUUCAAGUCUAUGAAGCUCUAGGCACAUCCUCUUACAGUGCAGGCAGACAAGACAGCCCAGGUAGAACAUAUUCCACAUAUAGGCUACAGCUUUUGAGAUAGCCCCUGCUCCAGUUGUUCAGGAACCACAUGAGGACCAAGCCUCACAACUGCUCCAUAUGUUUGGGAAGGCCUAGGUUCAGCCUGUAUAUGUUCUUUGGAUGGUGGUUUAGUCUCUGAGAAUCCCAAGAAUUCAGAUUAGUUGACUCUAUUGGUCUUCCUGUGCAGUCCCUAUUCUCUUCAGGGAUCAUAAUUCUUCUUCCUUUUCUUCCAAAAAAUUUCCCACACUCCACCCAGUUUUUGGCUGUGGGUGUCUGACUAUCUCUUUUGUCCUCAUCUGAUUCGGAACCCCUCCCCCAUUCGCUCCCAUGCUUUCUCCUACCGAGUUCCCUCCCUCCUUUUGCCUCGUAUUUCAUUCCUCCUUCUAAGUGAGAUUCGAACAUCUUCACUUGGGUUUUCCCUCUUGUUUAGCUUUGGGUGUGUGGAGUGGAGUGUGGAUAUCCUGUAUUUUAUGGCUAAUAUUCACUUAUAAGUAAGUACAUAUCAUGUAUGUCUUUUUUGGGAUGGGUUACCUCAGGGUGAUAUUCUCAAGUUCCAUCCAUUUGUGGGGCAAGUCUUUUAAUGUUGCUUGGAGAAGGAGAACUUUCUGAGUUUGACAAAACUUAUGUAUCGUAGGCCCUUCAUAAAUAGCAAUGUGUACUUUUCAAAUAAAUGCUAAAAAGCUUUGUGAAGCCAGUCACUGUCUUAUUUAGGUUGUCUCCAGUGUUUGACAACACAUCUAGCACCUAGCAGGUAGUUAGUAUGAAUUGAGUGAAG